AUGUCCGGAUCCAGCCUCCAAGGCCGGUGGGCGGCUUCUUCUGUUACAGAAGAGGAUAUUGCGAAGCUUAGGGCGGAAAGAUAUCUGACCGCGGAAAUCCUCCAUCGGCUCCCUGCUGAAGGGCAGGUUAUCCCUACCCCUAGAUCCGGCGAGAGGGUCGUGUUUGUCUCCCACUUCCUCCGAGGGUUAGGAUUCACCCUUAAUCCCUUUGUCCGUGGGCUCAUGUUCUAUUACGGGAUGGAUUUUCAUGAUCUGCCCCCGAACUCUGUCCUUCUCAUCUCGGCGUUCAUCGUCACGUGUGAGGCCUUCCUUCGGAUCCCUCCACACUUCGGCUUGUGGCUCAAGACCUUCAAUGUGAAGCCGCAGGUGAUAGAAGGGAAGCUGGCAGAGUGCAGCGGUGCCACAGUGAGCAAGCUUAAUAACGCUCUUUGGCUAAAAGGAUCCUUCACAGAAUCUUCUGACUUAUGGCAGCGGGAGUGGUUUUAUAUCACCGAGCCCCGUGGUUCCAAGUGGGCCGCUGCUCCAGCGUUUCGAUCUAGCCCUCCGACUCAGCUCGCGUCGUGGAUCAAUAAGGGGCUAGACUGGGGAUCAGUUGAUGAAGUGCAAACUCUGCAGAGCCGCAUCCGAAGCCUCCUCGAGAAGGACAUCGAUCUUAUCAAUGUGGUUCAAGUAAUGCUAGCUCGCCGGACUCUACCGUGCCAACGACGGCCUCUCCGCCUGUGGGAGUUUAAUCCGCAAGGAGCGCGAACCCUCCAACACUUCUUUGGCACGACGCACAAAGGGAUGUGGAAAUUGUUUUUCGGGAAACGAAAACAAUGGCCGGAUACCACCGAGGACAUCGGCCCCGAUUGCAACCAUCCGGAUACCCCGGGCUGGAUAAAGAAAGCGGAGCGAAUCGGGUGUUCGGCCCCCCCUCCCCGAAGACUCAGCGGAUUCCCUACUAACAAGGAUGCUGGCCCCGGCACCAUUCCAGAUGCCUAUGGAGGAGGACAAUGCGGAAAGCGGAAAGGAAAAAAGCGGCUUCCACCCCGAAGGUAUAUCGGGCACUGCGUCCGGGGGAAUCAAAAUUCCGUCGUCCGAAGACAAAAGUGA
rnacentral:rRNA from 1 species